AACGAACGCUGGCGGCAGGCUUAACACAUGCAAGUCGAACGCCCCGCAAGGGGAGUGGCAGACGGGUGAGUAACGCGUGGGAACAUACCCUUUCCUGCGGAAUAGCUCUGGGAAACUGGAAUUAAUACCGCAUACGCCCUACGGGGGAAAGAUUUAUCGGGGAAGGAUUGGCCCGCGUUGGAUUAGCUAGUUGGUGGGGUAAAGGCCUACCAAGGCGACGAUCCAUAGCUGGUCUGAGAGGAUGUUCAGCCACAUUGGGACUGAGACACGGCCCAAACUCCUACGGGAGGCAGCAGUGGGGAAUAUUGGACAAUGGGCGCAAGCCUGAUCCAGCCAUGCCGCGUGAGUGAUGAAGGCCUUAGGGUCGUAAAGCUCUUUCACCGAUGAAGAUAAUGACGGUAGUCGGAGAAGAAGCCCCGGCUAACUUCGUGCCAGCCGCCGCAGUAACAC
rnacentral:rRNA from 1 species